GAGCACGUAGGUGGGUUUGUAAGUCAGAUGUGAAAGCCUUCUGUUCAACGGAAGAAUUGCAUCUGAAACUGCGAGUCUUGAGUGUAAGAGGGGAGAAUGGAACUUCUGGUGGAGCGGUGAAAUGCGUAGAUAUCAGAAGGAACGCCGGCGGCGAAAGCGAUUCUCUGGCCUAUUACCGACACCCAGUGUGCGAAAGCUAGGGGAGCAAACGGGAUUAGAUACCCCGGUAGUCCUAGCCGUAAACGAUGGGCACUAAGUAGAGGGGUUUU
rnacentral:rRNA from 1 species